rnacentral:rRNA from 1 species
UAAGGAAUAUUGGUCAAUGGACGGAAGUCUGAACCAGCCAUGCCGCGUGCAGGAAGACGGCCCUACGGGUUGUAAACUGCUUUUGCAGGGGAAUAAACCUUCGUAYGURUACGAAGUUGAAUGUACCUUGAGAAUAAGGAUCGGCUAACUCCGUGCCAGCAGCCGCGGUAAUACGGAGGAUCCGAGCGUUAUCCGGAUUUAUUGGGUUUAAAGGGUGCGUAGGCGGCCUAUUAAGUCAGGGGUGAAAGACGGUAGCUUAACUAUCGCAGUGCCUUUGAUACUGAUAGGCUUGAAUGUACUUGAGGUAGGCGGAAUGUGACAAGUAGCGGUGAAAUGCAUAGAUAUGUCACAGAACACCAAUUGCGAAGGCAGCUUACUAAAGUAUGAUUGACGCUGAGGCACGAAAGCGUGGGGAUCAAACAGGAUUAGAUACCCUGGUAGUCCACGCCCUAAACGAUGAACACUCGAUGUUGGCGAUAUACGGUCAGCGUCUAAGCGAAAGCGUUAAGUGUUCCACCUGGGGAGUACGCCCGCAAG